rnacentral:rRNA from 1 species
AGAAACUAGGUGACAGCGGGCGGGGGGAUAGGGAGGGGGCGAGCGUUGUCCGGAAUUAGUGGGCGGAAAGGGCGCGCAGGCGGUCCGUUAAGUCGGGUGGGAAAGCCCACGGCUCAACCGUGGAGGGUCAUUGGAAACGGGGGGACUUGAGUGCAGAAGAGGAAAGCGGAAUUCCACGUGUAGCGGUGAAAUGCGUAGAGAUGUGGAGGAACACCAGUGGCGAAGGCGGCUUUCUGGUCUGUAACUGACGCUGAGGCGCGAAAGCGUGGGGAGCAAACAGGAUUAGAUACCCUGGUAGUC